rnacentral:lncRNA from 1 species
GCCCCAUCUUUGGAUGGUAAGUCCGUUGGGUCUGAGUGUACUCAAUAAAGAUAUCCUCCUCUAUAUACCCCAAGGUCUCUCUCGGGUCCUCCUGAUCCGCUACACACCUGGUGACCCACAUGGGACUGAGAGACUGCAGCUUGGCUGGCUUCUUUGCCUGUGGGCGGUCUGGGGCCUCGGCUGUGGGAGACCCUUAACUUCAGGACCCAUCAAGGGAACUUAAGCCCAGAGAAAGGAGCUGUUCUCCCGCGUCCCCGGUGCCCCUCCCCUGACAGCACAAGGGAACCCGGAGGGGUUGCAGGACGGUUCCAGGAAUGGCGCCCUUUCUUCAGAACCAUGGUAUCAUACCUUGGAUCCACCACAGUUGGCUGAAACCGGCAGCCCAGGACCAGUGGACCAGCCAGUAGGACCCAGACCAUCUGACCUGGCUGAUCAUGCAAUGAGACCACGUUGCCAGUGGAGAUGACAACAGCCCUAUUCUGGUCACUCCGGAAGCUGACCCGUCUAUGCACGGAAGAAGGUUGAGGAAACAGCAAGCCCUGCUCUAGUCACACUGGGAGCUGACUAGUCUGUGCAUGGCUGAAGCUUGAAGAAUCAUCAUCAGAUGAGCAAAUGUGGCCAGAAGUCUUAGUCCCAGUAAUCUUCUUUGUAUUAUUCAUUAUAUUGCUAUAACCACCAUGAAAUAAAAUAUUUUAUUUUUCAUCCAC